rnacentral:rRNA from 1 species
UUCGGUGGUCAUAGCGUGAGGGAAACGCCCGGUCCCAUUCCGAACCCGGAAGCUAAGCCUCAAAGCGCCGAUGGUACUGCAAGGGGGACCUUGUGGGAGAAUAGGACGCCGCCGAAC